rnacentral:lncRNA from 1 species
GCCGGUGUUCAUGCGCCCAGAAAUCCGACUGACACUAUUCCGGAGGUGCAGAAGUUGUUUCUAGAUUGUUUAGGGGCUGUUUUGUAAUUUAAAAUUUAUUUGAUGUAUUUUUUUUUAUUUGGUUUUGAAUUUUUUAUUUUGCAUUAUGUAAAUGUGGAUGUAAAAGAAAAAAGAAAAAAGAAAAGAAAGAGAAAGUGAUAAAUAAAAAAAAGAAAAAGAAAUGUUUGUGUGUGCUUGUAUUUUUUCAAUUUUGCUUAAUAUCGGUAUGUAUUUUACAUCGUAAAAAUAUAAAUUCGGUAUUAAAAUACCCGGUUUUCGUUCACACGGUACUGUUCACACGGUACUGUUCUGAAAGAAAAAAAUCAAAACAUAUUUGUUUCAGCAUUUUAUAACUUUUCUGCGACGUUUUUAUGUCAUUUUGAUUAAUAUGUCAUUUUUAUGUCGUUUUUAUGUCAUUGAAUAAAAAAAAAAUGAAUUUAAUUUAUAUGCACAAAUAUCUAAAGGACAGAUAAAAAUCAUGUUGAAUUUUCCAUGGAAAUGUAGAAUAUGUAUCUACAUAUAGUCUGGAAAAGUAAUAACUGAUUUAUCAAAGCCUUAGAAUUGGGCUAAAAUUUUAUUUUUAAUAUCACAUCAAGUCCACGAAGCUUGAAAGUGAAUGUGGUGUGUAUUUUUGUUUAUGAAUGUUUUUUUAUGAUAAAAUUGCAAGAAUAAAGAAGAAUUUAAUAUUUUUUGAUUUAAUCACGGAUAAAGAAUCAUGAACUUACAUGUAAGUUGUAUUUUCUAAAAUUCGAUGAAAGAACAGAAUUUUUAAAACUUCUUUAACACAUCAAGCCACAAAGCAGCUUACCUCAGGUAGGGUGCGUUAGGGUGCUAGUACCUUCCCUAACCACAACCAGUCCCUUACCCGCGAUCUCUGACAAGACCAGUACAUCAGGUUUCCUAGUAGCCCUCAAUGAAUUACUAGGUGGCGAAUCCAAAGAACCAAAUCAGCAAAACAGAACGAAUAAUCGCCAGCCGAUGCCGCGCGCUGAUUUUUUUGGGGUGCGACAGAAUGGCGACUCCACUGGGGAAGGUAUUGUUUUCAACAUUAUUGGACUAAGCUUUGCAUAUUUGAUGUGUUUAUGUUUUUACAUUUUUGUCUUAUUUUAUUUUUUGUUUUAUCCAUGCAUUUUGUAGAAUUAUAUCAUGCAUCACAUAAUUAUUUUUUUAAAGCACACACCAGCUUCAGGGUAGGAGGGGAACUAACAGCUUACCUUACGACUUUUAGUCAAGGUUUAAGUUUGUGUAAACCCCAACUCUUCGUUGAGUGCUUAGACUGGUAAUAGUUGGACAUGUGCCAUCUCAUUGCCUACAAGCCCCCAUAUUGCCUUCACGAGGGCGAUCACUGGGACAACGAGAGCCCCUUUUUAGAGACCAAAUAGUAAACCUACCUUUUGUCUCACUUAAAAAGAUUAGAACUUGCCUGUAGGAUGUAUGCUCCGUAAAUAUUUGUUUUGCAUCCGAGCAAACCCUUCUUGAAGCAUCUUGAACUCAAGACUUGUGGGUGACACAUUGGUCGUCACUCCGAAAUUUUUCAUUGUAGAGUUUGGACAAAAAGCACGAUUCUUGUUCCAUCAUACAAGAGUUACGACCAUAUUGUCACCCCUCGAAGGGUGAGUUCGUCAUAUAGAUUACAUAUUCAUACAUUUAUCAUGCAUGUAUCGGGUUGAAAGGUAGGUCCCCCGCACAAGUUGUGCUGCACGUGAUUUGAAAAGAUGAGGGAAGUGAACAAAGGAGUUGAGAGUAUUAAAGGUGAAACAGCUGAGACUCAGAUUUGCUUGAACAAGUGUUGAGUAUUUAAAUGGAAAGAGAAUGUCUGCACAGUCUUCUAUCGGAACACUGCUUGUCCACGUCCAAUUGAAGCUGCCUCUCCUUUUCAGUCAUGAACAACAACAAAAAUGCCUUCAGUCAUCAACUAAUGACAACUCGAAUUUCUAUCCAGUUGCACUCUUAAGUGUUAAUGCCUCCACAUCAUCUAAUGGAACCAAACGACUACUAGCCUCCUAUUCAUGGUGCAUUAGUCUGCUUUGAAGUUACUCCAAUUAUGAGCUCAAUUCCAGUUUAGCAGCACAAGGUGUUGGUCUGAAAAACCAUGAUUAGACACUGAACUUCUACGUGGUAGAGCUCUCUCUGUAGAGAUUUAUUGGUGGAUCUGCCAAUGGAAAAUGCAAAAGGAGAUGUAUUAAUUACAUAUGCUUUGAAACUUUUUCCAAUCAGUGGCACGAGCAAAACAUUGUACUAGGCGGAGGAGUCAGGCCUGGUCUGAAAAUAUGAGUAGUCGUCGAACUUCAACGUGGCAGAGCUCUCUCUACAAAAAUCUGUUUAUGAUGCUGCAAGUUGAGAGUGCAAGAGAGGAUUUACUAAUUGCAUAUGCUACAAAUAUUUCUCAUCAGUUUCAGCACGAAGAAACUGUAGCAGGUUGAAGAGCCAGACUUGGUUUGAAAAACAUUGAGCAGUCAUCACACUCAACGUGGCAGAGAUCUCUCGGCAGGAAUCUAUUUGUGGAUUCGAAAGUGGGAAAUCCAAGAAGGAAUGCAGUAGUUUCAGAUCAUCUAUGAUUUUCCUCCAACAAUGUCAGUAUUAAAACGCAAAAGUAGAGAGAAGAGACAUGCCUAGACUGAAAAACAUGAAGAAGACUGAAACUUCCACAGAGCAGAACUCCCUCUAUUGGUGCUUGUUUGCUGCACCGUUCGAGAGGAAUCGAAGAAGAAAUAGAGGAGAUUCAUGUUAAUCAUUUUUUCCCAUUAGAAGAGAUAAGGCAUGAUUCCACGGGUCUGUAAUGGCGAUACUACAAGUUUCUGGGCGCUGCCAAGAUUACCAAGUUGUUGGAAAGUUUUCUAACAAUCCUCAACCAACCACAACAACAUUGGAAGAUUGAAAUGAUGUUGUGAGGAUUUGCCGAAGAAUUGAACAAGCUAUGAAGAGAGGAAAGAUUGAAGGAUCUGCCAGGGAUUCCAGAAUAAUGAUGAGAGGUGAAUCAGGAGAUGACUUUGACAGUGUGAAACCUUAAUUAUGUGGUCUAGCCAGGUCUCAUGUUAGCAUCAAUUGCUCAAAUGUCUUUGCCAAGAUGGGACAUUCCGUUGCCGUUUAAGUUGGUCGACCAGCAUCUGCCAGAUUCUAGAAUUUUGCUUGACUCCGACAAAUCCCAUGCAACCACCGUUUUCUAGGUGGUAUAAUCCAGAUAAGAGAUGUGAUGUCAUGGUGGGGUCCUCAACCAUUUCAAGUGAACAGUUGCAAGAAUUGCAAGAAUUGAGUCUGAAAGUUGGUGAGCAAGAGACAAGUCGAGCUUGCAAAGGAGGGUGUCAUUGGCUAUAUUGUCCCCCGAACAUCAUCAAAAUGACAUGUGAUCGAAAGUGCUUGGCAAAACACAAAUAUUGCUAGAAAAGCUGAUUCAAGAAUGGUGAUGAACAGUCAAUCAUAUUGUUAUGGAAUUCUGCAUUUUGUUUUGGGAUCACAUCUCAUCCUUCAACGAAACAUGUCUUGCUUUUGUCUCUUUGUUGUUUUGAAAUCAACAGAUGUUUAACAUUUUAUUCUGACAAAAUAUCUUGAUCAAACUCCAACAUGCGAUAAAGGUUAAUCAAUCCGGAAGAUUAAAAGUGUUUUGAUUACAGAAAUGACUCAAUGCUUGAAAAUGACAUGAGGUGACUAAACAAUUUUGAACUCAUACCUCCUGAAACUGAACCACACAUCAUAUAGCUAAGUUUUAGCAGUAUGCAUAAUGACAUGUAGUGGAUUCGGUAGUUAUGGACUCGUGAAUCAUGAUUCUUACAAGUCCCAAUCAUUACACUGGAUGAGGUCAAAAUUUAUCGGUUCUAACCGACCUUGCUUGAAAUGAGAAAAGGCCAUCUUUGAUAUCCCUUCACUUUCUAAAGAUUAUAUCCCUUGCAGUCCCAUUUUGAGCCUGGUAAAUAUUUUUUUCAGAAAACCCUGACUAGGAUCACACCCCACACUGGGGGCAAAUGAGAGAUAUUUUGGAGACAUUGAUAUAUGGAUAAAGGGGAAGGCUUAGAACAAAGGUCCAAUGAUUGAGAGAGAGCUAAAAGAAAACACAUAGACUGGGGGCAUAUAAGAAAAUUUUGAGGAAGGCUAUAAAAAAAAAAAAAGAAAAAAAAAGGAAGUUGAAAUUGCCUUCACUUAACAAGUCAAAGAUAAAGGAAGGAGAACGCCUAUCAAGUCUAUGAAGAGCAAAAAAAUUUCAAUCAAGGAAAGCACAACAAAAGUCAAUACCAGAAAAAAGACUAAGCUAUAACGUGACUUUUGGUCCAUUAUAAAGCCUAUGAUGUUAUCAGAUGAUUAAGGUUGGUUAUUCAUCAAGAAAGGAUUUGCAUUAUGACUUAUGUUAAGAAAAGUCUGAACUUUGAGGUUAACAAGGUUAUAUGUCGUUUCCUCUACAAAGACAACAAUAGAAGAGUUGAUGAAUAGUUGAUGUUGAUCCUAGGUCUUUGAAACCCUCAAACACCUUUUGAGCCUUGAAAUUCCUUUCUUUCAUAGCCAUGAACCAUAGCCUGCAUUACGUGCUUUUAAAAGCCCUUUUUAAUCAAGCAAGCAAUUUGAACCGAUAAAUGGCGCUCUCAAAACUUGAAGGGUUUUUCCACAAGGGUCGUGACUUCAUGAAUUAAGCUAUUGGUUAUUAUGCAUGCUGAUAAAAGAAGUUAUAAGAAGAGAAACAACCUUUCUUAAUAAAGCCUGAGUUUUGACUUGAGCAUUUUUGUUUUUUGGAAAUUCAUGCAAAGGUCACCUCAUCAUAGACUAUCAAAUGAUAUACCCAAUAUCAAGGAUUCAAAUUGAUACAAAGAACCAUAGAAAAGCCAUUUUAAUCCUACAUUGGGUCAAUUUCUUGUUUUUAAAGUGCAUGACAAUCAAAGGACUGUGUAUUUCGAAUAACGUGUGUUGGGUCUUUGAUCAAAAAGCUUGAUUUUCAAAAGAUUUUCAAAAAGGACAUCUCUGAUUUCAUCUCAACAAACUAGACUUUGAAUAGACAUGAUCUUUGAAAUAUGAAAGUUGAUUCCAGAACAAGGAAGAUUAUGAAACACUGAAGAACGUAGAUUGAGUAUGCAAAAUCGUUGAUAGAAAUGACAUUGAAGUCCUCGACACUCCUUGAAAAGUUGAGCAGCUGGGGGCAAUACAGUGGACCUUAAGAAAGAAAACAAACAAUAUCCAGAUCAGCUGGGGGCAAAGAAAGAAUCACAUAAUGAGUCAUCAAAGGCCAUCAAAGUCAUUCCUGGCAUUCACAAAAUCCAUUUGGUUGUAAACAGAAGAAUGAGCAUGUUCAGAUCAACUAGGGGCAAUGUUGUUCAAAGACAAUCCAUGAUUUAGUGAACUUCAGCAGCAAUUGAUGAGCAACGCUGCACUUGAAGGAUAUUUUCAUAUCUUCAUCUUGGGUCACCCUCUGAAACAUGGCUAUGACUCCUGACAGAUGUUAUCGGGUGAGUGCAUUUGAAUGAACAUCGAACAUAUGCACCACCAGGACUGAUUGUGGAACAUUGAUGCAUUUGAAGGACAAUCUCAUAUUGUCAUCCUUUGAAACAUGGUUAUCGACAGACGUUACCACGCAACUGCAUUGAAUGAAUGUUAGAAAGGCACCCACCCCGAAGACUGACUGUGUGGGACAAUUUGUUUUGAAGCCAGAUGAGCACUUCACCACAUGAGUAUGGGUGAUAAAAGCAGCAUCAUUGAUGAGGCUGAGACAUUUCUUUUUUUUUUUUUGAAAAGGAAAAACAAGCAGUGCUCAGGUCAGCUAUGAGGCAAUGAUUAAAUGAUGAAUCAGUGAACUGAAGACAAUGAUGUUCAAAGACAGAUAAUCAAUGAACGAGCACAUUUAGAUCAUACUGGGGGCAAUGUCAUUCCAAAACGGCCCAUGCUCUAGUGAACCCUGUCAGCAAUGGAGAAACAAAGAUGUACCUGAAGGAACACUUUCUUAUCAUCAUCUUUUGAAACAUCAUUGAUGAGGUUGAGACAUUUCUUUUCACAAAUCUGAUUAGAAGAGUUGAAGGGAAUCUAUUGAGAAGAACACUAAGUAUACAACCAUGAGCCUUUGUACUGCAAGCUAUGAGAUGCAUGACUGGAUGACUGAAUGAGUUCCAAGAAGGCUGAUGAUAACAUGUACUUGAAGAGUACUGUUUCAACUAGAGGCAAGUUCAUGACUGAUUAACAAUCUCGAUGGGUAUUGGCAUGAUGCACACAAUCAAUCAGAAGAUAAUUCUCAGAAGAAGCCAGGAGAGAAAAUCCUUCAUGAUGAAUCAAACAGUACCACACUUGGGGGCAGGGUCAAGCUUGAUGAACGAUGCGAGCAUUGUUGAAGACAACCCGGGAUGGGCACUGCAUUUACAGCUGGGUGGAUGGCUAGCACAUGAAUGAGCCAAUACAUCGAAAGAACAAGGAAAGCUUUGGGAUACAAACAAAGGCACCCUAUGAUGAUGGAGCAUCAAAGAGGGGGGACCUAUAUUUCAAAAUCAGGUAAGGAUGCAUGCAUAUCAUCUAACCUUAAAAAAAAAAAAAAAAAAACAAUUUGCACAUGUUUUUGAAUUGUUACAGGAAAAUCCUUAAUGAGGUCCAGCAAGAUGGUGAAAAAAAGAAGAAGCAUUGUGAUGAUGAUAAUAAAGAAUCAGUGUCGAUCAUGGAAUAAAAGGGAAGAUGGGAUGAACCCUACCAUUAGGGAAAUCCCAAAGAAAUGAAAAGAUCAACCUUGCAAUCGGGAAGCCUCGAGUUUUCAACCCUUGCAGUCAGGAAACACUGAGUUUUCAAAACCUAUGAUCGGGAAUUAGCAGGAAGCACCAAGUUUUCCAGCCCAUCUUCUGUCAUCCCCUCAGGACUUCGCCAGGUAAGUCCUAUUUUUCACACUUGUCAUAUCACAUCUUCCAUUUGGGUUGGUCACCCAUGACAAUGAGACAGCGCUUUUCAUAUUUUUUCCAUCCGGGUAGGUCACCCAUGACAAUGAGACCGCACUUCAUCAUAUUUUUUCCAUCUGGGUAGGUCGCCCAUUACAAUGAUACCACACUUCAUAUUUUUUCCAUAUUUGGGUAGGUCACCCAUUACAAUGAGACCGCACUUCACAUUCUUUCUAUUUGGGUAGGUCGCCCAUCACAACGAGACCACUUCAUCAUAUUUUGUCCAUCUGGGUAGGUCACCCAUUACAAUGAGACCACACUUCAUAUUUUUUCCCCCUGGGUAGGUCACCCAUAAGAAUGAGACCACUCUUCCUCCUUUCCACUUGGGUAGGUCACCCAUUAUAAUGAGACCACUUUUUACACAUUCUUUUGUUCCAGUUGAAUGAGGUCGCCAGAUGGGAUCUCAUGUAGCUUUGGUUAAAGGGAAUCGCCAGAUGGGGUUUCAGGUUCACCGAGCUACACAUAUUCCUUGGUUAUGGUUAAAGGGGAUCGGCGAAGGGAUCUCAGUUUAACCUAAUUGGAAAGGAUUUUGGUUCUGGUUAGAGGGGAUUGCCGAAAGGAAUCUCAGUCUAGCCCAACCCUACAUAUUCCUUGGUUAUGGUUGAAGGGGAUCGGCGAAGGGAUCUCAGUUCAGUCUAACUACACAAUUCCUUAGUUAUGGUUAAAGGGGAUCGACGAAGGGAUCUCAGUUUAACCUAAUUGGAAAGGAUUUUGGUUCUGGUUAGAGGGGAUUGCCGAAAGGAAUCUCAGUCUAGCUCAACCCUACACAUUCCUUGGUUAUGGUUAAAGGGGAUCGACGAAGGGAUCUCAGUUUAACCUAAUUGGAAAGGAUUUUGGUUCUGGUUGAAGGAUAUCGGCAAAGGAAUCUCAGUUCAGUCUAACCACACUGACCUUGGUUAUGGUUAAAGGGGAUCGGCGAAGGGAUCUCAGUUUAGCCUAAUCACGCAGAAUCACUAGAUGGGAUUUCAGGUUGAUCGAGCUACACACCGAUUUUUAUUCUUGUUAGGUCGCCAGAUGGGAUCCCAGGUAAACCCAAUCAAAAGGGAAGGUCGCCCGUGAAAAUAGACCAGUGUGAGUGUGUGGGCAGGUCGCCCCUGAAAACAGACCAGUGUGAGAGUGUGGGUCAGUCACCCCUGAAAAUAGACCAGAAUGAGUAUGUGUGGGCAGGUCGCCCCUGAAAACAGACCAGUGUGAGAGUGUGGGUCGCUCGCCCUUGAAAUAGACCAAAGUGAGUAUGUGUGGGCAGGUCGCCCGUGAAAAUAGACCAGUGUGAGUGUGUGGGCAGGUCGCCCCUGAAAAUAGACCACUUUGAGUAUGUGUGGGCAGGUCGCCCAUGAAAGUAGACCAGUGUGAUUGUGUGGGUCGGUCGCCCCUGAAAAUAGACCACUUUUCUUCAAAAGGGGCAUGUCGCCCAAGAUAAUAAGAUCAUUUUUUUUUCUGGUGGUGGCGCGUGGAUCCACGCGCCGCCAGUGGUGGUGGUGCGUGAGAUCCACGCGCCGAUGUUCAUGCGCCCAGAAAUCCGACUGACAUUGUUCCGGAGGUGCAAAAGUUGUUUCUAGAUUGUUUAGGGGCUGUUUUGUAAUUUAAAAUUUAUUUGAUGUAUUUUUUUUUAUUUGGUUUUGAAUUUUUUAUUUUGCAUUAUGUAAAUGUGGAUGUAAAAGAAAAAAGAAAAAAGAAAAGAAAGAGAAAGUGAUAAAUAAAAAAAAGAAAAAGAAAUGUUUGUGUGUGCUUGUAUUUUUUCAAUUUUGCUUAAUAUCGG